GAUGAACGCUGGCGGCGUGCCUAAUACAUGCAAGUCGAGCGAACAGAUAAGGAGCUUGCUCCUUUGACGUUAGCGGCGGACGGGUGAGUAACACGUGGGUAACCUACCUAUAAGACUGGAAUAACUCCGGGAAACCGGGGCUAAUGCCGGAUAACAUUUAGAACCGCAUGGUUCUAAAGUGAAAGAUGGUUUUACUAUCACUUAUAGAUGGACCCGCGCCGUAUUAGCUAGUUGGUAGGGUAACGGCUUACCAAGGCAACGAUACGUAGCCGACCUGAGAGGGUGAUAGGCCACACGGGAGCUGAGACACGGUCCAGACUCCUGCGGGAGGCAGCAGUAGGGAAUCUUCCGCAAUGGGCGAAAGCCUGACGGAGCAACGCCGCGGGAGUGAUGAAGGUCUUCGGAUCGUAAAACUCUGUUAUUAGGGAAGAACAAAUGUGUAAGUAACUGUGCACGGCUUGACGGUACCUAAUAAGAAAGCCACGGCUAACUACGUG
rnacentral:rRNA from 1 species